GUCGCGAUGCCAGAGUGGUUGUGAGUGUAUUCGGCCUUGGAAUGCUUCAAAAACUAACCCGUUCAGAAUGGGUAAGACUUGAAUUAAUUUUCAGUUAUCUUAUGGCUUCGGCCUCGUAGGUUCAAAUCCUGCUCGCGACG